GUGGGGAAUUUUGGACAAUGGGCGCAAGCCUGAUCCAGCAAUGCCGCGUGCAGGAAGAAGGCCUUCGGGUUGUAAACUGCUUUUGUACGGAACGAAACGGUCCGGGUUAAUACCCUGGGCUAAUGACGGUACCGUAAGAAUAAGCACCGGCUAACUACGUGCCAGCAGCCGCGGUAAUACGUAGGGUGCAAGCGUUAAUCGGAAUUACUGGGCGUAAAGCGUGCGCAGGCGGUUUUGUAAGACAGGCGUGAAAUCCCGGGCUCAACCUGGGAAUUGCGCUUGUGACUGCAAGGCUGGAGUGCGGCAGAGGGGGAUGGAAUUCCGCGUGUAGCAGUGAAAUGCGUAGAUAUGCGGAGGAACACCGAUGGCGAAGGCAAUCCCCUGGGCCUGCACUGACGCUCAUGCACGAAAGCGUGGGGAGCAAACAGGAUUAGAUACCCUGGUAGUCC
rnacentral:rRNA from 1 species